UCCAGCAUAUUGUGGAUAUUUUGCCAGCACAUAUUGUUCAACAUAUUGCAUCUCUGUUGGGGUGAUUGGCCCGGACCAUCUAAGGUCUAGACCACGGAGUGUUGAUAUGGCUUCUGCUACUAUGUGUGCGGGAAUCACAUCAAGAUUCAGGAGGGAAGGAGAAUCAAAAGGCUAGGAAAUUAAAGAGAGGAUGCUUUGUAGAGAUGCCUUGCAAAAUGCAGGGAAGAUGUUGCUAGAGAGUUGGUCCGAUAUGGGAAUUUAGGACAUAGGAGAGUCUUCAGAGAAUUUAAUGGAAGGGAAGUGAGAAAAGCAAAAGCCAAAUUCUUCUGCACUUUAUUUGGUGGAAAGUAUAUAUGGACUGUCGUGCUAAAUAAACUUCAAGAAGUUGAUGAGUUUGGGAUGAAUUGGAGGAAGUGAGGGAGGAAGGUGCAUAGGGAAGACUUGGCCAAAGUUAUCACAGCAAUUUCGGGAGUCCAGGAGUAGAGUUUGACCAAAGGAUUAGCGAGUCACCUGAAACAAUCUGCUUUAGCUUUGGAAACAAACAACCAUAGAUACGUUGGUUAAAUCAACCAUACUGCCUCUACAGAACCUUCCAGCUGGAGAAUAAGGCCUCCGAGCACAAAAGCUGUUAGUUGGGGCGUAUGAUCAUCUAGCUAAUUUCGAUUGCUUUGGUGCUACAUUAAUCUUCAGGGGGAUGGAUAUUUGUUUAUCCGAAAAGAACUGUCCAUGCACUGUGAGGCCGCAGUUGCGGUACAUAUGAUGAUGUGUUUCUAGAGGAUGAAAGAAAGAUGCCGCUUGAAGAUGCCUUGCUGCAAAGCAUACACACAGACAAAAGUAAUUGGAAAAUUGUAUUAUAUAUGUUGGCAAAUUGAUGUUAGAAUAAUGUAAGCAAGGGUGCCUUUCGUACAGCUCAUUCGACACUGAUUAGCGUAAACAAAUUCCAGUCUAAUUUCUUGGCUGCUGGAAGGUGACGUCAGAUUCAUUUUUUUUUUUUUUGUUUGAGGGCUAGUUGACGCAGGUUAAGUUGGAACAGCUGCUGUUGAUCUGUUUUAGCAAUAUCCAGUGAUUC